AUAAGUUAAAUUAUAAAAAAUAUGAAAUUUUAAGUCUAAUUAAUGUUAAUUUUAGGUGCAAAAAAAUUUAGUUACUUCAACCUGAAGAAGCAUUAUAAUAAAAGACUUUUGAGGCAAAUUUUUUGGCUGCAUUGGCUUCAGGUAGCAAGAGAGGCAAGAUAAACUCUUACAAAGACAGAGAAGAACCAGAUGCUAAAAAGAGGCAGAUUAGUAUAGAGGCAGAUUAGUAUAGAUUAGUAUAAGUAUUAGUAUAGAUUAGUAUAAGAUUAGUUAGAGGCAGAUUAGUAUAGAUUAGUAUAAGUAUACAAGUUUAAUCAGAGAGAGGCCCUAGAUCUGUACUACAGGUAGAUAAAGUAAAUUUUUUUAUCAACAUAAGUUACAUGAACUCGAUUCAAAAUACUGAUUUAACUCUUAUAUUGGUAAUUGUUUUAUUAAUUUUCAGGUCAUUCAUCGUAGACAUGCGUCCGACCCUGGAGACAGAUUCUAAGGCAUUUCGCCAGUUUCUGGAAUAUAUCUGCCUUACUUUUAAGGUUCCCUCUAUGAAAAAGCUAAUGACGGAUAUCAAUCGUAUAGUGGAAAAGGUCAAAGAGCAUCUCAUAGAAAUUUUAAAUAAACAAGACUAUGUUGCAACCACUGCUGAUAGCUGGUCUUCCCAUCACAGAUCUUUCCUUGGGAUGAUGGUGACCUGGUUAAACAAGGAAACUCUAGAGAGACAAAAUGCUGUCUUGUGUGUCAAGGAGAUAAAAGAAGCCCAAACUAGGAAACUCUUAGCAGACGUCAUGUUUGAACUGCAUCAAGAGUUUAGUGGGAAAGUUUGUAGAAGCAAACUAAUUCAAAAACUUUCAAUUGAUUUUUCAAAUUUAAAAAUAUUUGAUUUUGUAGUCAAUUGAAAUUGACUGCAACUUAGGUUGUUAACUUUAGGUUGUUGCAACAACUACAGAUAAUGGUUCAAACUAUGUAAGUGCCUUGAACCAGUUUGGUUUAGUCGAAGAGGAAAGAGCAGCGAGAGAGGAUCCUGAGCUGGUUGCUCGAGGCCUUUCUUGUUGGAGGAAAUACUUGAAUGUUGCACUGAUGACAUCAUUCUUACAAAGCACCACCGUUGUGCAGCUCACACAAUAAACUUGCUGGCCUGUAAGGACACCCAGAAAGUGCCAGGUUGGAUUUCGAAUCCCAAGCCAUUGUUUUUAAAGCCAGCUGCUAAAGCCCAGGGGAUGUGGAACGCUCAAAAUAGGAGGACAGUGAUAACAAAUGACAUAAAGGCAGCCCUGAAGAGAAAGUUAGCGACACCAGGGAUCACCAGGUGGAACUCCUGUUAUGAUGCAUUUAAAUGCCUAUCAUUCGAAAUUUCUGACAAAGCUAAGCUAAAGAAGCUUAAUCAAGUUUUCCAGCGGCAGUAACCCCACGUCCUGCCAAUGAUUACAAAGGAAGACAAAGAGGUUUGGAGUGAGUAUGUAAAAGUGACUGCUCCCCUAGCUGUCUGUCUUGACAGGUUACAUGCAGAUAAUGAUGCUUACAUGGGAUGUCUACUUCCCCAGCUUAGAUUGGUGAAGGUUCGGUCAUCUUUUUAAAGACAAAGACCUGUUAAUCGCAACUUAUGUGCAUCCUUAUUAUAAGCUGCCAGUUGUCAGUUACCUCUGUCAUGAAUAUAGCUCGGUAAACAAUACAAUAGAUGAAGUAAAAAGUUGUAUAAUUUUGCAUAAGCAGCAAAAAUUCGAUUUUUUGCCCGACUCCAACAAGACUUAUCAGGCGGAUUCUAGCAACAUUGCUUAUAUGUGGCAGCUAAAUGAGGUACAAAAUAACUUGGAGGAUAGAGUAAAUGAAGAGGUGGUAAAGUAGUCCAAAAUCAAGGUGUCUGCUAAAAACAAGUACAACACGGCGCUACCGUCAUCAGCAUCUGUUGAGAGGCUCUUUAGCUAUGGGUCUGAUAUUCUCAGACCCAAGAGGUCAUCACUCAGCUUCCACAAUUUUGAACAGCUUGUUUUUAUAAAGGGAAACAUAAAACUUAAAAAUAAAAACCUUCUUGAAGAUGAAUAGAUGAAAACUUUUUAUUA